UGGAUCCAGACUUUGAUUAUGGCUCAGGAUGAACGCUAGCGACAGGCUUAACACAUGCAAGUCGAGGGGCAGCGGUGGAGAGAGCUUGCUCUCUUCAGCCGGCGACCGGCGCACGGGUGAGUAACACGUAUGCAACCUGCCCUUGACACUGGGAUAACCCGGAGAAAUCCGGACUAAUACCGGGCGACACCUUCGGAGGCCAUCCUCCUUAGGUCGAAGGAAGCGAUUCCGGUCAAGGAUGGGCAUGCGGCGCAUUAGCUAGUUGGCGGGGUAACGGCCCACCAAGGCGACGAUGCGUAGGGGUUCUGAGAGGAAGGUCCCCCACAUUGGUACUGAGACACGGACCAAACUCCUACGGGAGGCAGCAGUGAGGAAUAUUGGUCAAUGGGCGCGAGCCUGAACCAGCCAAGUCGCGUGAGGGAAGACGGCCCUACGGGUUGUAAACCUCUUUUGUCGGGGAGCAAGGACUGCCACGCGUGGCAGGGCGAGAGUACCCGAAGAAAAAGCAUCGGCUAACUCCGUGCCAGCAGCCGCGGUAAUACGGAGGAUGCGAGCGUUAUCCGGAUUUAUUGGGUUUAAAGGGUGCGUAGGCGGAAGUUCAAGUCAGCGGUAAAAUCGAGGGGCUCAACCCCUUUAAGCCGUUGAAACUGGGUUUCUUGAGUGGGCGAGAAGUGUGCGGAAUGUGUGGUGUAGCGGUGAAAUGCAUAGAUAUCACACAGAACUCCGAUUGCGAAGGCAGCACACCGGCGCCCAACUGACGCUGAGGCACGAAAGCGUGGGGAUCAAACAGGAUUAGAUACCCUGGUAGUCCACGCAGUAAACGAUGAACACUAGGUGUGCGGGUCGAAUGAGAUCUGCGUGCCACAGCGAAAGCGUUAAGUGUUCCACCUGGGGAGUACGCCGGCAACGGUGCAACUCAAAGGAAUUGACGGA
rnacentral:rRNA from 1 species